UUAAUGGAGAGUUUGAUCCUGGCUCAGGACGAACGCUGGCGGCGUGCCUAAUACAUGCAAGUCGAGCGGACUUAUCCUUCGGGA
rnacentral:rRNA from 1 species